AAAAAUAAAAUAUUAACCAAAGACAGUAGGUGGAAGUAUUUCCAUAAAUCCUACCGAGGUAAAAUAAUGAACGGAACUUAGAGUUUUUGUUUGACGUUACCUCGUAGGUAUGUCUUACAAAAACUUUUUAUAUUUU
rnacentral:sRNA from 1 species